rnacentral:rRNA from 1 species
UACGGAGGGUGCAAACGUUGCUCGGAAUCAUUGGGCGUAAAGCGCACGUAGGCGGCCUGAUAAGUUGGGUGUGAAAGCCCUGGGCUCAACCCAGGAAGUGCACUCGAAACUGUCAGGCUUGAAUAUGGAAGAGGGUCGCGGAAUUCCCGGUGUAGAGGUGAAAUUCGUAGAUAUCGGGAGGAACACCAGUGGCGAAGGCGGCGACCUGGGCCAAUAUUGACGCUGAGGUGCGAAAGCGUGGGGAGCAAACAGG